rnacentral:lncRNA from 1 species
UUCUGUGGACUGUGAUAACUGAUAAGUAUUAUUACGAAUUAAUGUGAAAAUGGUUUUAUAAAAGUAAUACAUUAAAUUAAAUUAAAUUAAUAAAAUUAUUAAUUAACUAGUAUUGUGAAAAUACUCACGUAAAUAUCUUUUUGCGGGCAACGGCAUUCACAUUCAUAUUUAUAUUCAUAAUCAUAUCCAUAUUGUAUUCAUAAUAUCAUGUUAUAUUACAAGACAGUUAAUUAAAUAAAAUUAUGAAUAAACAGAUCCAUAUUAUUCACGAAUCGCAAACCAAACGACCUUCUAAUAUUCGGCGACUACAAGCGUAUAUCCGCAGCAACAACAACAUUCCAAUGACCUUACCAAAAGACACCUGCAAAAUCCAUGUGCCGACCAUAUCAAAGGAGCUGACAUCGUUUAUAGGAGAGACAGGAGCACGGCAUAAUAUUCAGAUGUACCAUGGCCGCCAAGACCAUACCUACUUCAUGCCACACUUAGCCACAUGCACUUUUAUACGAUUACUAUAUAAAAUAUAUUACUAAAGUAAACAACUAUUUCAUUUUACUAUUCUAAUUGACUACAAACUUAUUUCAAAUCAUCAUUUUUUGGAUCCCUGCACGUAACAAUCUGAUGAAAUUAAUUAUAACUACUAGAAAAUGUGUUAUAUUGGAUGUUUCACUUAUGUGUAGUUAAAUAUGCUGAAAACGAUGGUGAAGUCAGAAUUUGGGGCUUGGACAUAGUUUCAAAGUUAGUAUAUAAUACGUUUAAUAACUUAUAAAUGUCCCAUCGCCCAGUGGUGGCCCAGUGGUGUUAUGAUGAUUAUGCCAUGGAAAGUGACCAGAGUUCGACCCGGGUUAAGGUAUAAAGGAUGUAUUGAUGUUAUGAUGUCUACCACACACUCUUACACUAGAUGUGUAAUUCAGCUACUUAUAUUCUCGCCAUAUAAUCUAUCUAGAUCUGAAACAUAAAAAUUGGAUAUUACUGGUUGUGUGAAAUUUGAUGAUUUUGCUUUUGCUAUAACACCAAAAAACAAUAGAAACAUGGACAUUAUAUACAUUAUAUUCAUUUGAAUAGAAUUGCUGAAAAAAGCCAAAGGAAAAAAUAUUACCUAGUAGCAAAAAGCCAUAAUCUUUUUAUUUUAAAUUUUAGUUGACAUUUGAUUAUAGUAAGACAAAUUCCAUAAUAAAAUAUGAUUUUUUAUUUUUAUUAAAUGUAAUUUUAAUUAAACAAAUUUUUUUUAGACUAUACUAAAUUAAAUACAUUUUUAACCAUGUGAGUUACCAUAUAUAUUAUAUAAAAUUAAGCAAACUGUACUUUGCUCAAAUUUGAUAAACGGACACAUCGUUAGUUUUAAUAUAGAAAAUUUAUGAUCAGCAGAUCACGUUUACCUUUGUGAAUUUAAAAAUUAGAGUAACUUAAACUAUUAUGAAACUUAAUGAUAAAAAAGUCUGAGGCACUCGGGGACGACUGCCGCGGUAAAGCUAUUGCAUAGCAAUUUCGUAGCUAUGUAUCAUAUUGUAAUUAUAAUUUAUAACUAUUUAUUUUUGUAUGGUAUUAAUUCAAGUUACACUUUUUGAACGCAACGACCGAACAGAAAAUGACAAAAUGAGUUUUUUUUGAUAAUGGUAGAUUGUAGAUAAAUGGUAGAUAAACACUGUACGUAUUUUAUUUGAGACUUUUUUUGUUUAGAAAACUGGUUAGACUGUAAAUAAAAAAAAUAAUAAUAACAUAUACGGUCACGCUUUUUCGUUACGAAAAUAUUUUUUUGUUACGCCUGCACCGAAAGUUCGGUUUUCGACCACGGUUGAAGCGUUCGAAAGCAACCUUUUUCCGUCCAGCGGGCAAAAAAGAGGAAAUCACCAAAAGUGCCGGCUGCCGGGCACGUAUCCCCUGCACAACCAGAAACUAAAAUGUAUACCUACCACGGUCCUUCCAAAACAUAAACUUUUGGUUACAUCUUAAAUUUAUAGUAUAACCUCCUUGCAUGA